AUGCGCAUUUCAAUGGCUUCACAGCUCAAAAAUAUCAUCUGCAUAAAACCCAAUCGAUUAAACAGUAUUUACAGCGCAUCCCCUCGGUUGCCAUUGCCGAAUGAAGAGCUCAAACGGCGACGUCUACUUUCCUUGCACUUGGCUUGAAUCCGCCUUGAAUCUCUAGCGAGCAAAUAGCAGAAAGACAAUAAUUGAAUAUAUAGGAAUUGGAAUUGUUUAAGCCCAAUAUGCGCCCCAUGCACAUUCACAUUCACAGAUGAUGAUGAUUUCAGGCAGCAGCUGGUGGCAGAACUCCUCCGUUUGUUGGUCACGAAUUUUGGGGGCGAUGUUAACACCGCCUUGGACUAAAGAUUUCCAGAUUCAACAAAAUGCCAAAUGCCGCCUGCAACUGUAAUAUUAUUUGACCAUUAAAAUGCCAACAGUUUUGUGUCUGCGCCAGGAGCUGCUGCCGAGCAGAGAGCUUUGGCUAUCUGCAAUGAUAAUGAAGGCCAAAAACGGUACAUCAGGAGGAACCCAAACACAAAAGAAAGAUUGAUUUUAAUUUUAAAAUAAAAUGUUCGAGCUUUCGGAAAGGAAAUAACGCAAAAGGAUCUGCAGCAUCACCAAAUCCUCAAUACCGUGUAGCGGAAGCCAGUCCUGACACAACCUAUGACUCAGAAGCUCGGGUUUAGUCCAACAACAAAAAUCAUGGUAUUUUCAGGAAUAUAUAAUAUUGUAAGAACGA